ensembl:lncRNA
AGAAUUGAUAUCUUUUCAUGUCUUUUGUUUUUAUUUCUAAUGUGUCAUGAACUGAUAUGAUGGAUGGAACAGAGUGAUAAUAAAUAUUAUCGGUUAGGCCUUCAAUAAAGAGGUCUAACUCUUGGAGAUUCUGAUUUCAUCUGUGGGGUUGACUCCAGGAAUACGUAUAAUCUACAAGCCGUCUGAGGAAGGAUCACUGUUCUGCAGUCUUCACAGUGCUGCCUUAAAGGCAAAGGAGCCGUGGCUGGUGGAUGGGGAGAUGUGAAACACCAGGACUUUUGAAGCCCAACUCGGCCAUUACUUUAAGGAAAGGUCAAACAAGCAGACUGAAGCUAAAAAAGAUGAUUGCUGUUUUGGUUAGAGCUACUAGGAGCUGUUAUCAGCUAAGUGGUAGGUUAGUAACUCUAAGUGAAGAGUCAGAAAACACUUAUUAUAUGGGCAACUCCCUUAAUGGAACAACAGCUAUCUUCUUACUGUAUGG